AGCUAGUGGGGCCCACACCCUAAUCUUUCCUCCUCUCACGUACCUUCGAAAUCUCUGGGAUCACUUUUUUUUUUUUUCUUUUUCUUCUCUUCUCCCUCACAUCCCACUCUUUUUUUCUUCUCUUCUCCCUCACAUCCCACUCUUUCUUCCUCUACGCCAACCGAGACAUCACCAACCAUGUAUGAUCAUCACCACCGCCACUCAGGCGAAGUCCACACCAUCACUAACUACCCAACUCUCUCCUUUCUUUACCUCCCUCUCUCAUCGCUCCCUAUCUCUGCAAGUGUAGAGAAAACACAUCCUUGCCACAUCCAUUUUUCUUGGAAAAACUCCACAACGCAACCAAGGUGAAACGCAUCGCAAGGAUUUUAUGCCCACAAGGCGGGUUCGACUCGACGACAUGAUUUGUCUCACCCGGGACCAGGGCCAGUCUUUCACGUAUAUGUUCACAUCGCAUCGUAUGCUCACUUUGGAUCCAUUGUAGGUGCCAGUGUUGUCCUAGAUUGCUAUAGGCCAUUAGGAUUUGUAUGUGACGCACAUAGCACUAGUCUUCAUGUGAUUGUAGUAUUAGAGCAUAAAUUAUUAUUACACCCAAUCCUAUACCUCUACAUGAACUCGUGUGUUAGCAUGUGUUGAACAUUACCAAACAUUAGAUGUUUAUCUAAGAAAUAUUGUGACAUAUUGAAUUCUUGA